GACGAACGCUGGCGGCGUGCUUAACACAUGCAAGUCGAACGAAAAGGGAUUGAUGCUGUGGGGUACUAGAGUGGCGAACGGACGAGUGACUAGCGCGUAACCAACCUUCGCUUUAGGGGUAAACAAAAGAAAGUGAGGAUAAUUAAGGAUGGGUGCGACUGAAGCAUGGUAGGGGGGGGAGAGUUUCGGCGGUUGAGGCAGGACUGGCGGCAUAUCAGCUUGUGGGUGGGGUAGUGGAUUACGUAGGCGGUGACGGGUAGCCGGACUGAGAGGGUGACCGGCCACAGUGGGACUGAGAUACGGCCCGGACUCCUACUGGAGGCAGCGGUGAGGAAUUGUCGACGAUGGGCGGAAGCCGGAAUCAGCAACGCCGCGUUGGAGAGGACUGCCUUCGGGUUGGAAACCGCUUUUUCCUAUUAGGAAGCGUGAGUGACGGUAAUGGGUAAGGAAGCAACGGCUAACUACGUG
rnacentral:rRNA from 1 species